rnacentral:rRNA from 1 species
AGAUUAAGCCAUGCAUGUCUAAGUAUAAAUAAAUUUAUAUUGUGAAACUGCGAAUGGCUCAUUAAAUCAGUUAUGAUCUACGUGACAUAUUCUUUACUACUUGGAUAACCGUGGUAAUUCUAGAGCUAAUACAUGCAAAAAAACCCUGACUUCGGAAGGGGUGCACUUAUUAGAUAAAGCCAACGCGGGGUAAAACCUGUUUCCCUUGGUGAUUCAUAAUAAUUAAGCGGAUCGCAU